rnacentral:rRNA from 1 species
UGGUUGAUAUUCCAGUACCACCAUGUUCGCGUCCGUCCCAAUACUCUGUUGCUAAGGGGCUGUGUUGACUUCGGUCAACGCGAACCGACCCACAUUGUUGCGGGAAGCUGUAGGGGGACGCAGGAAGGUAGAUGAACCCGGUGAAUGGUAGAACCGGGGUAAGCGUGUAGGAGGAGGACCAGGUAAAUCCGGGCCUCAUAAACUCUGAGACGUGAUACCGAGCCGCUUCAGGCGAAGUCAUUGAUCCUAUGCUGCCUAGAAAAGCCCAGCAGCGAGUUGACAUGGUGCCCGUACCCCAGACCAACACAGGUGGACAGGUAGAGCAUACCAAGGCGAGUGGGAUAACUAUGGUUAAGGAACUCGGCAAAUUGCCUCCGUAACUUCGGGAGAAGGAGGACCCCAGUAGCGUGAUGGGACUUGCUCUCUGAGCGUGAAGGGGUGGCACAAAAUUGAGGGAAGCGACUGUUUACCAAAAACACAGCAGCGUGCUAAGCCGUAAGGCGCUGUAUACGCUGUGACUCCUGCCCGGUGCUGGAAGGUUACGGGGAUGGGUUAGUCCUUCGGGACGAAGCUCUGAACCUAAGCCCCAGUAAACGGCGGCCAUAACUAUAACGGUCCUAAGGUAGCGAAAUUCCUUGUCUGGUAAGUUCCGACCUGCACGAAUGGAGUAACGACUUCCCUACUGUCUCAACCAUAGACCCAGCGAAGUUGAAGUACGAGUAAAGAUGCUCGUUAGCUGCAGAAGGACGGAAAGACCCCGUGGACCUUUACUAUAACUUGAUGUUGUGUUUUGUCAUAUGUUGUGUAGGAUAGGUGGGAGACUUGGAAGCAUGGACGCUAGUCUGUGUGGAGUCAUCGUUGAAAUACCACCCUGCAUAUGGUGAGGCUCUAACCUAGACCCGUUAUCCGGGUUGGGGACAGCGUCAGGCGGGUAGUUUAACUGGGGCGGUUGCCUCCUAAAGAGUAACGGAGGCGCCCAAAGGUUCCCUCAGCCUGGUUGGCAAUCAGGCGUUGAGUGCAAUGGCAAAAGGGAGCUUGACUGCGAGACCUACAAGUCGAGCAGGAGCGAAAGCUGGGCAUAGUGAUCCGGCGGUUGCGUGUGGAAGCGCCGUCGCUCAACGGAUAAAAGGUACCCCGGGGAUAACAGGCUAAUCUUGCCCAAGCGUCCAUAGCGACGGCAAGGUUUGGCACCUCGAUGUCGGCUCAUCGCAUCCUGGGGCUGAAGCAGGUCCCAAGGGUUGGGCUGUUCGCCCAUUAAAGCGGUACGCGAGCUGGGUUCAGAACGUCGUGAGACAGUUCGGUCCCUAUCCUCUGCAGCCGGAGGUGAAUUGAGGAAAGCUGUCCCUAGUACGAGAGGACCGGGACGGACGCAGCUCUCGUGUGCCAGUUGUCCUGCCAAGGGCAUGGCUGGUUAGCGACCUGCGGAAAGGAUAACCGCUGAAAGCAUCUAAGCGGGAAGCCUCUUCCAAGAUGAAUUCACCCGCAGGGUUAACCUGGUAAGGCCCGUGGUAGACCACCACGUUGAUAGGCCGGAAGUGUAAGCGUGGCAACACGUUCAGCUGACCGGUACUAAUCGGCCGAGGGCUUGAGUC